UACGAAGGGGGCUAGCGUUGCUCGGAAUCACUGGGCGUAAAGGGUGCGUAGGCGGGUCUUUAAGUCAGGGGUGAAAUCCUGGAGCUCAACUCCAGAACUGCCUUUGAUACUGAAGAUCUUGAGUUCGGGAGAGGUGAGUGGAACUGCGAGUGUAGAGGUGAAAUUCGUAGAUAUUGGGAAGAACACCGGUGGCGAAGGCGGCGCUCUGGACCGAGACUGACGCUGAGGCGCGAAGGCGUGGGGAGCAAACAGG
rnacentral:rRNA from 1 species